rnacentral:lncRNA from 1 species
UAGAUUUCUCUCUUCUUUGGCUCCAAUAAUUUGUGCCCAAACUUCAGACCAGUAAUUCCCCAGAUGAGCCUGCUGCUACCCUACUUGCGUCUUACUUUUGCAAGCUGUUUCCAUUCUUAUUAGGCUAAUAACUGAAGACAGGAUCAAGAUAUCUUUCUAACCUAUCCAAAAUACCUGAAUAUUCUGUCACAUUCAACAAUUUACAGUGAAGAAGAAGAAUCAAGUGUACAUCCCAAUCUGAAUUACUGCAUUCAAAGAAAAAUUACCACUGCUAGCCACUCUACAAGAAUAGCACAGCCCUGGUAGAACUUUUAAAGUAACAGGAGAAAGGAAGAGAAGAAAGGAUAAAAAGGAAAAAGAA